GUGAAUCAUCGAAUUUUUGAACGCAAAUUGCACUCUCCGCGAAUAGUAUGCGUGUUUGAGGGUCAGCCUAUAAAAAAUCGACAUCGUUGCUGUUUCGCGGUGGCGUUCGUCGGAAAUGGGGGCAUCUUAAAUCUUUCGGUUUUAAGCGACUUAAGAUUUUCUUUGUGGUUCCAUGAACGUUUCUAAGAUUUAUUUCUUUACACGUGUGAUGUAUCGAUUUUUAUUAGACGUGACCAUCAUAUCGGAUCUCG
rnacentral:misc_RNA from 1 species